GAUGAACGCUGGCGGCGUGCCUAAUACAUGCAAGUCGAGCGAACGGACGAGAAGCUUGCUUCUCUGAUGUUAGCGGCGGACGGGUGAGUAACACGUGGAUAACCUACCUAUCAGACUGGGAUAACUUCGGGAAACCGGCGCUAAUCCCGGAUGAUCUUUUGAACCGCAUGGUUCAUAAGUGAAAGACGGUCUUGCUGUCACUUAUAGAUGGAUCCGCGCUGCAUUAGCUAGUUGGUAAGGUAACGGCUUACCAAGGCAACGAUGCAUAGCCGACCUGAGAGGGUGAUCGGCCACACGGGAACGUAGACACGGUCCAUACUCCUACGGGAGGCAGCAGUAGGGAAUCGUCCGCAAUGGGCGAAAACCUGACGGAGCAACGCGGCGCGAGUUAUGAAGGUCUCCGGAUCGGAAAACUCUGUUAUUAGUGAAGAACAUAUGUGUAAGUAACUGUGCACAUCGUGACGGUACCUAAUCAGAAAGCCACGGCUAACUACGUG
rnacentral:rRNA from 1 species